GUCUUGAACUCACAAAGUUGCUCUACCCAGUUGUCACAGUCUCGUGAUGAUGGCGGAAAGGUCACACCUGUUCCCAUCUCGAACACAGAAGUUAAGCUUUCCAGCGCCGAUGGUACUUGGACCGCAGGGUCCUGGGAGAGUAGGACGUCGCGGGGC
rnacentral:rRNA from 1 species